rnacentral:misc_RNA from 1 species
GGGAUUCCGAGACAAUACCAACCAGCCUAUUGGAGGAGACAUCUAGGUAUUUCAACAGAGAAAGUUUGCCCAUACUUUCAGGGAGGUUUCCAGUCAAAUGAUUGGAAGAGACAUCUAGGGUUGACAACUUUGAGAUUUGUCCCAAAUUGUCUGGAAGAGUUCCAUUGAACAAGUUAGAAUUUAAAUGAAGUUCAACAAGAUUUUGAAGCUGACCCAACCAACUUGGCAGCAUACCACAC